rnacentral:lncRNA from 1 species
ACAAUCUCACACCCUGCCUUUAGUUCUUUGUAUUGAUCCAACUUAGACAUUCCGCCAUAAACUGCAGAGACACGGAUACCAUGCGAUUUAGAAAAUUUCUUUGCCUCCACAAAUAUUUGAUGUGCUAAUUCCCUAGUAGGUGCACAAAUAACUCCAAUGGGACCUUCUUCUUUCUGAAGUUCAGGCUGAUCCAUAAUGUGGACAAUCAUAGGAAGCACAAAAGCAGCAGUCUUGCCAGAACCAGUUUUAGCAAUACCAAUAAUAUCUCUCCCAGAGAGCACAAUUGGCAAUGCUUGACACUGUAUUGGUGUAGGCUUUUCAUAUCCCUGUUUACUGAUAGCUUCAUCAACUCAACAGAAAAACCACAGUUUUGUGGUAUUGUUUACCUGGAGUAGCAACAACAAUCUCACAUCCAGCCUUUAGUUCUUUGUAUUGAUCCAAUUUAGACAUUCCUCCAUAAACUGCAGAGACACGGAUACCAUGAGAUUUAGAGAACUUCUUUGCCUCCACAAAUAUUUGAUGUGCUAAUUCCCUAGUAGGUGCACAAAUAACUCCAAUGGGACCUUCGUCUUUAUGAAGUUCAGGCUGAUCCAUAAUGUGGACAAUCAUAGGAAGCACAAAAGCAGCAGUCUUGCCGGACCCAGUUUUAGCAAUACCAAUAAUAUCUCUCCCAGA